rnacentral:rRNA from 1 species
UCUACGGGUGGCAGCAGUGGGGAAUAUUGGACAAUGGGCGAAAGCCUGAUCCAGCCAUGCCGCGUGUGUGAAGAAGGCCUUCGGGUUGUAAAGCACUUUCAGUGGGGAAGAAAGCCUUGGGGCUAAUACCCUCGAGGAAGGACAUCACCCACAGAAGAAGCACCGGCUAACUCCGUGCCAGCAGCCGCGGUAAUACGGAGGGUGCGAGCGUUAAUCGGAAUUACUGGGCGUAAAGCGCGCGUAGGCGGUCUGAUAAGCCGGUUGUGAAAGCCCCGGGCUCAACCUGGGAACGGCAUCCGGAACUGUUAGGCUAGAGUGCAGGAGAGGAAGGUAGAAUUCCCGGUGUAGCGGUGAAAUGCGUAGAGAUCGGGAGGAAUACCAGUGGCGAAGGCGGCCUUCUGGACUGACACUGACGCUGAGGUGCGAAAGCGUGGGUAGCAAACAGGAUUAGAUACCCUUGUAGUC